UAGGGAAUAUUAGAAAUGGACGAAAGUCUGAUCUAACAACACCGCGUGUGCGAAGAAGGCCUUCGGGUCGUAAAGCACUUUUUGGAAGGAAUAGGAAGGAAUGUACUUCCAGAAUAAGUCUCGGCUAACUACGUGCCAGCAGCCGCGGUAACACGUAGGAGGCGAACGUUAUCCGGAGUUACUGGGCGUAAAGCGCGUGUAGGUGGUUAUGUAAGUAGGGCGUGAAAGCUCCUGGCUCAACUGGGAGAGGGCGUUCUAAACUACAGAACUAGAGGAUGGUAGAGGGAGGUGGAAUUCCAGGUGUAGCGGUGGAAUGCGCAGAUAUCUGGAGGAACACCAGUGGCGAAGGCGGCCUCCUGGACCAUGCCUGACACUCAGACGCGAAAGCUAGGGUAGCAAACG
rnacentral:rRNA from 1 species